GUGCGCGCUCCGGCAGCACAGACACUAAAACUGGAACGACACAGAGGAGAUUAGCAUAGCCCCUGUGCAAGGAUAACAUGCAAAUUCAUGAAGCGUUCCAUAUUGAA
ensembl:snRNA U6 U6 spliceosomal RNA